AGGAGGCAGCAGUGAGGAAUAUUGCGCAAUGGGCGAAAGCCUGACGCAGCCACGCCGCGUGAGCGAUGAAGGCCUUCGGGUCGUAAAGCUCUGUGGGGAGAGACGAAGAAAGCCGGUGAAGAGCCGGCCUUGACGGUAUCUCCUUAGCAAGCACCGGCUAACUCCGUGCCAGCAGCCGCGGUAAUACGGAGGGUGCAAACGUUGCUCGGAAUCAUUGGGCGUAAAGCGCACGUAGGCGGCGAAGCAAGUUGGGUGUGAAAGCCCUGGGCUCAACCCAGGAAGUGCAUUCAAAACUGCUUCGCUUGAAUCUCGGAGGGGGUCAGAGAAUUCCCGGUGUAGAGGUGAAAUUCGUAGAUAUCGGGAGGAAUACCAGUGGCGAAGGCGCUGACCUGGACGAAGAUUGACGCUGAGGUGCGAAAGCGCGGGGAGCAAACAGGAUUAGAUACCCGUGUAGUCGC
rnacentral:rRNA from 1 species